AGAGUUUGAUCCUGGCUCAGGACGAACGCUGGCGGCGUGCUUAACACAUGCAAGUCGAACGGAAAGGCCCUUCGGGGUACUCGAGUGGCGAACGGGUGAGUAACACGUGGGUGAUCUGCCCUGCACUCUGGGAUAAGCCUGGGAAACUGGGUCUAAUACCGGAUAGGACCGCAUGCUUCAUGGUGUGUGGUGCAAAGCUUUUGCGGUGUGGGAUGAGCCCGCGGCCUAUCAGCUUGUUGGUGGGGUAAUGGCCUACCAAGGCGACGACGGGUAGCCGGCCUGAGAGGGUGACCGGCCACACUGGGACUGAGAUACGGCCCAGACUCCUACGGGAGGCAGCAGUGGGGAAUAUUGCACAAUGGGCGCAAGCCUGAUGCAGCGACGCCGCGUGAGGGAUGACGGCCUUCGGGUUGUAAACCUCUUUCAGUAGGGACGAAGCGAAAGUGACGGUACCUACAGAAGAAGGACCGGCCAACUACGUGCCAGCAGCCGCGGUAAUACGUAGGGUCCGAGCGUUGUCCGGAAUUACUGGGCGUAAAGAGCUCGUAGGUGGUUUGUCGCGUUGUUCGUGAAAACUCACAGCUUAACUGUGGGCGUGCGGGCGAUACGGGCAGACUAGAGUACUGCAGGGGAGACUGGAAUUCCUGGUGUAGCGGUGGAAUGCGCAGAUAUCAGGAGGAACACCGGUGGCGAAGGCGGGUCUCUGGGCAGUAACUGACGCUGAGGAGCGAAAGCGUGGGUAGCGAACAGGAUUAGAUACCCUGGUAGUCCACGCCGUAAACGGUGGGUAAUAGGUGUGGG
rnacentral:rRNA from 1 species